GCUGCCCUCAAGCCCGGCUUGUGUGUUGGGCCCUCGUCCCCCGGCUCCCGGGGGACGGGCCCGAAAGGCAGCGGCGGCACCGCGUCCGGUCCUCGAGCGUAUGGGGCUUCGUCUUCCGCUCCGUAGGC
rnacentral:misc_RNA from 1 species